rnacentral:rRNA from 1 species
GACAUCCAGAGAACUUUCCAGAGAUGGAUUGGUGCCUUCGGGAACUCUGAGACAGGUGCUGCAUGGCUGUCGUCAGCUCGUGUUGUGAAAUGUUGGGUUAACGUCCGCAACGAGCGCAACCCCUAUCCUUUGUUGCCAGCGAUUCGGUCGGGAACUCAAAGGAGACUGCCGGUGAUAAACCGGAGGAAGGGUGGGGAUGACGUCAAGUCAUCAUGGCCCUUACGAGUAGGGCUACACACGUGCUACAAUGGCGUAUACAAAGAGAAGCGACCUCGCGAGAGCAAGCGGACCUCAUAAAGUACGUCGUAGUCCGGAUUGGAGUCUGCAACUCGACUCCAUGAAGUCGGAAUCGCUAGUAAUCGUAGAUCAGAAUGCUACGGUGAAUACGUUCCCGGGCCUUGUACACACCGCCCGUCACACCAUGGGAGUGGGUUGCAAAAGAAGUAGAUAGCUUAACCUUCGGGAGGGCGUUUACCACUUUGUGAUUCAUGACUGGGGUGAAGUCGUAACAAGGUAAGCGUAGCGAG